AGCGAACGCUGGCGGCAGGCCUAACACAUGCAAGCCGAACGAACUCUUCGGAGUUAGUGGCGGACGGGUGAGUAACACGUGGGAACGUGCCUUUUGGUUCGGAAUAACUCAGGGAAACUUGUGCUAAUACCGAAUGUGCCCUUCGGGGGAAAGAUUUAUCGCCAUUAGAGCGGCCCGCGUCUGAUUAGCUAGUUGGUGGGGUAACGGCUCACCAAGGCGACGAUCAGUAACUGGUCUGAGAGGAUGACCAGCCACACUGGGACUGAGACACGGCCCAGACUCCUACGGGAGGCAGCAGUGGGGAAUCUUGCGCAAUGGGCGAAAGCCUGACGCAGCCAUGCCGCGUGAAUGAUGAAGGUCUUAGGAUUGUAAAAUUCUUUCACCGGGGACGAUAAUGACGGUACCCGGAGAAGAAGCCCCGGCUAACUUCGUG
rnacentral:rRNA from 1 species